UACGAAGGGGGCUAGCGUUGUUCGGAAUUACUGGGCGUAAAGCGCACGUAGGCGGGUCGUUAAGUCAGGGGUGAAAUCCCGGAGCUCAACUCUGGAACUGCCUUUGAUACUGGCGACCUAGAGUCCGGAAGAGGUUAGUGGAAUUCCCAGUGUAGAGGUGAAAUUCGUAGAUAUUGGGAAGAACACCAGUGGCGAAGGCGGCUAACUGGUCCGGUACUGACGCUGAGGUGCGAAAGCGUGGGGAGCAAACAGG
rnacentral:rRNA from 1 species